UACGGGGGGGGCAAGCGUUGUUCGGAAUUACUGGGCGUAAAGAGCUCGUAGGUGGUUUGUCGCGUUGUUCGUGAAAACUCACAGCUCAACUGUGGGCGUGCGGGCGAUACGGGCAGACUAGAGUACUGCAGGGGAGACUGGAAUUCCUGGUGUAGCGGUGGAAUGCGCAGAUAUCUGGAGGAAUACCGGUGGCGAAGGCGGCAUCCUGGACCGAGAUUGACGCUGAGGAGCGAAAGCUAGGGGAGCAAACGGG
rnacentral:rRNA from 1 species